GGAGCGCGUCGUUACCGCCACGUCAUCCCCGUGCUGAGGAAGGGCAGUCCCACCUCCGGCACGGCUCACGGCCGCCCCAGCACAGACACAGCAGCACAAGAGGAGAGAGAAGCGAUGCAGCCGAUGAUCCUGAUCUUACUCACCUCUCAACAUGUUUCUUCCCCUCUCUCGAGGAAAAGAUGCUCUGUGCUUCUGCUUGGCUGCCCCAACUCAUGCCCUGUCCCAUGGGGAAGGCGCCCAGGCCUCUGUGACACUCGGUGCCAGCGGGUCCAGCUCAGUGCUGUGCCCACAGCAACAACCACCCAAAACCCAAAGGCUGUAUCCUGGAAUGAAACAGCUCUGGCCUCGUUACUCUUACAGAAUGGAUGAUUUCUCUAAGGUGUUUUGUACUUAAGACUGAAGAAUUAAGCAAUGCCUACAGUUUAAGGAGGUUUUGUUUGUUUGUUUGAGAUUUUCCUGUCCAGCUGCCAAGAGUGUCUGGCUCAGCCUUCCAAAAAAUUAACUCUGCUAUGACCAACCAGUUUAAAUAAACACUGGUUGAAAUCUGA